rnacentral:misc_RNA from 1 species
GAUGAAGAACGUAGCGAAAUGCGAUAAGUAGUGUGAAUUGCAGAAUUCAGUGAAUCAUCGAAUCUUUGAACGCACAUUGCGCCCCUUGGUAUUCCAUGGGGCAUGCCUGUUCGAGCGUCAUUUGUACCUUCAAGCUUUGCUUGGUGUUGGGUGUUUGUCUCGCCUCUGCGUGUAGACUCGCCUUAAAACAAUUGGCAGCCGGCGUAUUGAUUUCGGAGCGCAGUACAUCUCGCGCUUUGCACUCAUAACGACGACGUCCAAAAGUACAUUUUUACACUCUUGACCUCGGAUCAGGUAGGAAUACCCGCUGAACUUAAGCAUAUCAAUAAGCGGAGGA